rnacentral:rRNA from 1 species
CAGUAGCCGCGGUAAUGCGUAGGUGGCAAGCGUUGUCCGGAUUUAUUGGGCGUAAAGGGAGUGUAGGCGGUCUUUUAAGUCUGAUGUGAAAGCCCACGGCUCAACCGUGGAGGGUCAUUGGAAACUGGGAGACUUGAGUGCAGAAGAGGAGAGCGGAAUUCCAUGUGUAGCGGUGAAAUGCGUAGAUAUAUGGAGGAACACCAGUGGCGAAGGCGGCUCUCUGGUCUGUAACUGACGCUGAGGCUCGAAAGCGUGGGGAGCAAACAGGAUUAGAUACCCGCGUAGUCCCUGUCUCUUAUAC